UACAGAGGGUGCGAGCGUUAAUCGGAAUUACUGGGCGUAAAGCGCACGUAGGUGGCGACGUAAGUCGGGUGGUGAAAUCCCUGGGCUCAACCCAGGAACUGCGUCCGAUACUGGUUGGCUUGAAUCCGGGAGAGGGACGUGGAAUUCCAGGUGUAGCGGUGAAAUGCGUAGAUAUCUGGAGGAACACCGGUGGCGAAGGCGACGUCCUGGACCGGCAUUGACGCUGAGGCGCGAAAGCCAGGGGAGCAAACGGG
rnacentral:rRNA from 1 species